GUCCUGGAUUUUUGGCACCGAAAAUAGUCUGGCGGCGCGCGGAGAGAACGCGAGGGCGCAGUGCGUGUCGCUCCGCCGUGUGAACAGCUCGUGAGGCCAGUAGCUGGCGUAUAUUUCAUCAGGACCGUAAAGACAAAACAAAUCCGCCACCAUGGACGCGAUCAAGAAGAAGAUGCAGGCGAUGAAGCUGGAGAAGGACAACGCCAUGGACAAGGCGGACACCUGCGAACAGCAGGCCAGGGAUGCCAACCUUCGCGCAGAGAAGGUAAACGAGGAAGUCCGUGAGCUCCAGAAGAAGCUGGCCCAGGUAGAGGAGGACCUGAUCCUGAACAAGAACAAGCUGGAGCAGGCGAAUAAGGACCUGGAGGAGAAGGAGAAGCAGCUGGCCGCCACUGAGGCGGAGGUUGCCUCGCUCAACAGGAAGGUGCAGCAGAUUGAGGAGGACCUCGAGAAAUCUGAAGAGCGCUCCGGCACCGCGCAGCAGAAGCUGCUCGAGGCACAGCAGUCUGCUGACGAGAACAACCGUAUGUGCAAGGUAUUGGAGAACAGGUCGCAGCAGGACGAGGAGCGCAUGGACCAGCUCACAAACCAACUUAAGGAGGCGCGUCUGCUCGCUGAGGACGCUGACGGCAAGUCUGACGAGGUGUCCCGCAAGCUGGCAUUCGUUGAAGACGAGCUGGAAGUAGCUGAGGACCGCGUCAAGUCCGGUGACGCUAAGAUCUCAGAACUUGAGGAGGAAUUAAAGGUCGUAGGUAACUCCCUUAAAUCACUGGAAGUAUCAGAAGAAAAGGCCAACCAGCGUGUAGAAGAAUUCAAGAAACAGCUGAAGACCCUCACCUCGAAGCUCAAGGAAGCAGAAGCACGCGCCGAAUACGCAGAGAAGACCGUCAAGAAGCUACAGAAGGAAGUCGACAGGCUCGAAGACAUGUUGUUCAACGAAAAGGAGAAAUACAAGGCGAUAUGCGAUGACUUGGACGGCACAUUCGCCGAGCUCACAGGAUACUAACGACCCUUUAGCACUUAGUUUAAGACAUCGUUACUAACUUAAUAGGAUUACAACCUUUUUGUUAUCCUCAUAUACAAAAAUACAUCUACCCAAAGAUAUUGCAUACUUCCAGAUAUGUUAUCUGUGCCACGAAAGUUACACGUUAUAUCGCGUAAUUUCGUGCACUUCCGAAAAAUUGUUUCCCGUAGUUAAAAAUUUCGUGCCCGUAAUUUAACAUAACUGAUACGUAAAUUUGUGUAUUAUUUUGAAUAUUUUUGUGUACGAUAUCUGAAAGUAUGUAAAUUUAUAAUCAAAACCAGUUUCCAAUUUAUAUUUAGGUAGAAAUUUCUCUUUCAAUAAUGCAAAUAAUUUUCUAUCUCACACUAACAUAUUAACUCCUGUGCUGAUAUUUAGGGGAUUUGUCGACUUUUUGGUCAAUACUCUGACGGUCCUUUAGAAAUCGCUUAGUAUAGGAGUCCUUGCUUUUUUUGUUUGUUAUUAACAUGUCUUAUGCUUACCGCUACCGUGGUGGACCAAUUCUUCCAAGACGAGUUGGGCAUCAACAAGGAUCGUUA